CUCCUUUUAAAAGCACUCAUCGGGCCUUUUGCUAAUAGCCUGACCCACUAAGCUGUAAGGAAAGGGCAAAGCAAACACACUGUUUCUGGGUGAAGUGGCAGAAUGCUGUGCUGUUUUGCUUCAAUCGGUGGUGUGACAGCA